ensembl:lincRNA
CAGGAAUUCUUGAGACCUCUGACUCUUCAGCUGGGGAGUUCCAGGCCUGUCCUUCUUUGUCACAGCAAUGCAUCUGCCAGUCCCUGUAGGACGAGUCUUGAGUUCUACAUACUGGCUAUAUUUUCACCAAGAGGAUAGUGGACAGUGUGGGCAGUUCAAGAUUGGAAACGAACGCCAACAGUCCCUGUCGCUUUGGUGGAGAGGAGAGCAGGGCAUCCCCGGUGGAUGUGAGGGGCAACGCAGGGCCAGCGGAGGCGGCGGCUUGCUCCAUCCUGCCCACGGUCGCUCCAUGCCGGGACUCGUGCCUGGUGGGGAAAAGUUGUUCAACACAUUCUUUGACCACCCUGUCCCUCCCAGGGAGCCCUGUGCUUCACCGUGACCCCUUUGAUCUUCUCAACUAGUGAUGAGCGCUGGCUUGACCUCAGACAUACUUCUCCCGAGGACGGGGACAUGAUCACUGCUGUUCUGUGUGACUUCUGUGCGCCCUUCAGCCCUGUGUCCACACGGCAGGCAGCGAAUGCUGGCUCAAGGCAGACUCACACUCCGGAGCGGUGGCUCCACCCCUGGAAGCAAGUCUUCCUCCUGUGAGCAGCGCGUGUUUUAGGGGAGAUGCUGGGGCUGUGUGAUGUCCUGGUUCUCACCAAACCCUCGCCCCGACUCCGGCAUCCCAAGGACAAGUAUCCAUAGUCACUAUUGUGGUGGCCUUUGCCAAAUGGCUAUUUUGUCAGUUUCUUGUAGCUGUGACUAGGCAAUAAAAAUAGAUCUCUCGUUUUAUUUCUCCAUUCAUUUUUCUUGGGUGCAGAAGCUACUUCCAAGGUUCAGCUAUUGUGAG